rnacentral:lncRNA from 1 species
UUGACCCCAAGAUGGUGCAAGGAGUGGUCUUCUUCGCACGAUGAUGUCGUCAGUCGGAACAAAGGCUGAUCGUCAAGUGAUCGACGUCUAACAACACUAACCUAGUGUUAUCCAGGCAAGCCCCGGUGCAUAAAACCCCUUCCUUGUGUUUUUAAAUUAUUUUUACGCAGUAUAAGUCUAGUGAAUGUGCAUUAAGUUUAUAGGAGUUGCUUGAAAACCCUUUGAUGCAUUGGCUACCUUGAAAUCCAUCCCUUUUAUAGAUACUUCUAGUGAAGUAUCAAAAUAUGAUUCACAAAAAAAUGCUUAGCCCUGCUUAUAAGCAGAUAGAGUUUGUCCUUUGCUCUUAUGCCUAGCUCAGGUUUAUCCUGAGGAAGGAUGACUUCUACCUGCAAGAAUAUUUUCAUUGGGAGCAUGGUGGGAUCUUACUGCAAAGUUCCCUAUAAUGCUCUUUUCAUCCUAAGGAACACAAACACUCCUAAGGAUGGAAGUACUUAAAUUGAGACUUGGGAUAGGAACAGGUGAUGCUCCACCCAGAUUAAUUAAGGAUUGGAUGCGUAUGUAGGCAUGUAUGAUCAAGAACUAUCUUAACUAGUCACAUGCCCUGGAUAUGGGACAUGGUAAGCUUGAACCCAGCUAUUCCAUACGUGAAAAGACAAACACGCACUGGGCGUGGGAGAUGGUGGGAGUAGCGUGUACCCUCCUGGCUAGAGGCUGGACGGAGGAGUACUGUGCUCCCGGGUAGCGUGGACCGGUUCACGUUGUGGAGGAUCUGUGGGAAUGGUUGACAUAUGCAAGGGUUAAGUGCUACAUAUGUCGUGUGGUUAGAGAUCCUCAGCUGAGUAAAUCGAUUCAGAUCGCCGUUAUAUCCCCGGAGAGUGGAGACUUGAUCGUUGCCCUGCAACCUAAGUCAGGAUGUAAACAUUAUGAGUAAAAAUGAUGUUGUAUUGAUGAGAUGGUUAGACUAGGUGCAAACAGAGUCUAUUAAUAUUAAUCUGGCGUUAAAAUAUUGAAAGUAAGGACUCACUUUAGUAAGCUAUUUCUGCAAAAACAUCUAAGUUGAUUCUUGCUAAGAGCCUCUCCUUGAUUCCUAAAUCCAGCAUAUCCUUGAGAGUCUUUUUCCUUAGUCGGGUAAGACUUGCGAAAGUACACUUCAUACUCAGGGCUUUGUCCCAUGUUGUUUUAGGUGAAGAGCCUACGGAGCUUUGCUACUUUUGUGCAAAGGUGGUUCCCAAGCCGGAGGAAGAUCCAAAAAUAGAAGUGUGUUGAUGUGGAUGGUGCUAAGUGUCGAUGGGCUCGACCUUCUUAUAAGUCUAAGUACCUCUCCUAUACUUCUUAUUGAGGAUGGUCACUUAAGCUAGAUUAUAUUUCAAACUUACAAGUAAUUUAUAAUAUUUCAAAGUUUAUUUCUUUGAAUCACC